AUAGCAAAUUCAUAAAAGCUCAUCCUAUCUUUACCUUUAUCUUUACCUUUAUCUUUACCUACUAAUAAACCGGCUGUUGCUUCGGGUCGGACGUCGUCAUCAGUUUUGCAAAAACAUCCCUGAGGUUUUGCUUAUUCAACCCGCAGUCCCGUUUUAAGUGGCUAAUUUGGGGAAACGUUUCGGUUUUACUAAAAGGACCCUGUAGUUUGGUAUAUUCAACCCGUGAUAUUUUUUACGUCAACGCGGUGGCUCGAGCUGCUGGGGGCGCGGCGGUUGGAGCGGCGGAUCUGUGCACGGCAGGGGCUGGGAGGCGGAUCCGGUGGCGAGCGGCGAGGCAGGGGUCGCCGGUGACGAUGAGGAAGGCCGGAGUGCGGCUUCCCGGACGGAUCCAUGGCAGAAAAGAGACAGGGUGGUGAGGAAGAAAAGAUGGGAGAAAAGAGGGGCGGUGCGGCGACCCAGGCAUGCUCGCUGGAGCCGGGUGAUGGCAGACGGGCGCGGGAGACGGAAGGAUCCGGCAUGGCAGCGCGAAGUCCUUGUAGUUGGAGGCGGGCCUCCAUGGCCGCGGCGACCCCUCCCCUUCUCUCCGUGGCCACGGCAGCUCAGGCAGCGGUCAGAUCCGCCCUCCCCCCCUCAUUCCUCGCGCUGGAUAACCUAGCCGCCGGGCCAUGGUGACCGAGGGCGAUGAUGACGGUGGUGGCUACCUCGACGACGGCGGCACACACCCAACAUCGCCAUGGACCAGUAGCUCAAGCAUUCUUCUUCCUGAUGGUGAUGGGGUUCCCUCACCAUCUUCAGGUCGUCAUCCUUGAGGCCUCCACCAUCUGCAGUGUCUACAGUGGACUGUUUGCACCUUCUGUGCAAAUACCUGAUUGUAUAUGGAUUGAAUGGAUGGAUAGAUUGCAGGGUCUACAAUGCACCACCUUGAUUUGAUUCGGUCUGGAGCAGCAGCAUCAGCUCCUUCCUUCCUUCUCAACCAUCUGUAUUUACAUUACUACUGUAAGCUUCUGAAAUGUAAAUUAUGCUAGGACAAUUCAUCUUUAGCUUUAACUAUGACAUUCCUAAAUGCGCGAGUAAAUACUACUGGGAUUACGGCUAACAAAAAAAAUUCAUGACAUGCGAGCAAUUCUCGGUUUAAAUACUGCGAGCUUAAAUAACAGGAGCUAAACUGUUGUGCUAUGUUCAGAAUUGGUACUAGAAAAGAUAAUCUAAACUGCACAUUCUGAAAGUAUAUUGGGCUCUUGCCCUCGGGAAAUUAGUCUUCUAAGCAUUACUUCGUAAAUAAAUGACAUGAUAACUUGUUGGUUCAGUUUAAAGCUGUAGGCAGAGGCUUGCGGUAGGGGGAAAAUCACUGCCAGUUGAAAACCAAAACUUCUAUUUGUGAGUAUGAUCGGGACUGCGCUUUUCUGAAAGUAUGUUAGCCAAUGUUUGGAUAUCUUUCAAUUACUUCUGAACAAGAAAGAUGUAGUGCCAUGCUAAGUUUGGAUGUGGAGUUGCAAUUUAACCUGCUUUGCAGCUCCAUUUUGUCUUGCUACAGCAAUACCUUGCCUGAGUGGUUCAGGGGUCAGGAACUUACAUGGGCUUGCUCUUCUUUCAUGUAUUAGAUAUGGAGUCCACGCUGCUUAGAUUUUCUAAAAUUUAUCUUCAUUUCUACAACUUCAUUUUGCAAUACAAAUAUAAGAUCACUAUUAUUACGAGUGGUGAAAUUUUCUUGUCAAUGAACUUUACGGCUAUUUGGUCAUGUAUUUGACUGCUUAUAUUUUUUAUUUCCUAAUUGUGCACUUACUCUGCAUAAAAUUCAUUAGCACAUAUUUCCUUGCAAUUAUACUAAAUUUCUGUUUGCAUCCUUUUUCCAUUUUGGUGGAAUGUAGACAUUGCUUAAGAUGUAGUUUGAUAUUUUUCUAGGCGCAAGCCAUCAGGCUCUUCCAGUCCAGGGGCAACCAGGCCCGAGUCACCAUCAUCCUGAUGUUGCCACGAUGGGCGGCGGCAGCGGACAAACCAAUGCACCUUGCGGCGAUAUCUACGUUAGGGAGGGUGUUGUUGCCGUCCACCACGAUAACAACCUGUGUUGUGUCUCACCAUCAUCCUGAUGUUGCCACGAUGGGCGGCGGCAGCGGACAAACCAAUGCACCUUGCGGCGAUAUCUACGUUAGGGAGGGUGUUGUUGCCGUCCACCACGAUAACAACCUGUGUUGUGUCGAUUUUAGAUUCUUUGGUGACGAAUUGGACUACAUCCCACUGAAGGCCACUUAUCCUGCUCAUGAGCGAGGCUACUUAAAAACAAUCCUAGGUGAGUGAUAUGUUCUUUGUCAUGUCAUGUAUGUAGUUCCACCGACCUCAUAUUGGAUCGCAGUGUUUUGUACAGGAUUCUUGUGGCGAAUUCCUGAAGAAAAAAAAUCAUUCUUCAAGAUGAUGUUUUUCAAGCUCUGAAUAGUGAUUAUGUUUGUUCUAUAGUAUACCAAAGAUCAUGCUUUUCUUUAUGUCACAGAAUAGAUAUGCUCUAAAUUCCAAUGGCACUAAACAUCUUAAGGAUAAAAUAGAAGCAAUCUUUAGGAACUGGACAUGUCUGCUCUAUAAGAACCCCUGUGCUUAUACCAUGAUUUUGUCUGUAACCUAGCGUUAGGUGUGCAUGGGUCGUAGCUGCACCUAUAUAAGGAGCAGCAGUGGUUAUAUUAAAAGGAUUUUCUUCCUCUAUUCCAUCGCCCCUCACGGGUCCCCCACUCCCACACGCUCCCUCCUUACUGCUCCCAUUCAUCAUCUCUCCUGGAUCCCACACCCAUUGUAGCUCAAUCCACGCCGUAGUGUGCAUCUCCAGUUAUUGGUGCUAAGGAAAACGCUGCCUCCUCGCCACCGGGCCGCACCAACCGGAUGUUGCCGUGUUGUGUUUGUGUAAAAAUAUAUGGUAAAUAAAAUAUAUUUAUGAACACUUACUGAACAUACAACGGUGAUAAAUAUAUGUAAUUUCAUUUACAUCACCUGUUUUGAACUGUAUUUUAUAUGCAAUUUCUAUAUCAUGGUGGAACACACAAUUUGAAUCGAAAAGAAUAGCACUGACCAAUGUAUAUUUUGCAAGUUCAGAUAUAUAUCCAUACUUAACUAAAGUACGUACAGUGCAUACUGUGGAAGCACAUGGCAAAUAUUCAUGGUUAACUAAAUGCAUCUGCUCCAUUCUGGCAGCUGUGAGUCUCGGGACAGUUCUGUGUGGCCUUGGAUCAAUCUUGAACUGAUUGGUGUUAUCUGCCCAUUCUCUUUACAUGACCCAAUACAAUAUUUGUAGCUGCUUUGGCUGAGAUGAAUUGUUUGUUUCACGGAUCCAAGCGUUGUUUUGGCGCUAAACCAAAUCCUGGACCGAAGCCACAUAUGGUCUCUGCUUAAUUGUCUUAUAAGCAGUAGUGCAGCUGAGUUCUGGAAAUCCCACCCUCCUUGCCAGUAGCAAGAUGUGACUAAAUUUAUAAAUAGGGAUUAGAAAGAAACAUGUUACUUUGGUUACUUUUAUCUUUAUUUUACGUAAUUUAGCUUAUUGCAACUGUGGUUUUAUGCUGCAGUUGACAAGAUCCUUAAAGUUAGCUGGCAAUCUUCUUCUAUCCUUUUCAUUGUACUAUGUUUUUCAAGCUCCGAUGUUUACUUAAAAAAAUAGAAAUUAGCAAAAAAUUGCAAAUUUUGUUUCCCGCUGCUCGGUCAGGCAAAGCCAGCUGCUCACCACUAUGUGCAGUUCUCUUCCAUUUCAUGGCGUGUAACCGAAUAUGGCACAAGACUGUAGUUGUGUCAUUGUGAAAUUUACGGAUGUUGAUGUUUCUUUUCAAUAUAAUAGUAUUGUUUACCAAUUUGGUCCCUGGAUCAUGAACUAAUUUCUCUUUCUAUUCCUUCUAGAUAAUUUGCUUCAUUUCUAGCUACAUGGUGAAACACGCAUAUUGUUUCCCGAUAUAUUGGGCAUCAGUCCACCUCUCAUGAGAUCUCUGAAUUUUUGAUCCAUAUUGUAUUUGCAGAAUUAUUUCUUCAAGAUAACUAUGCUUGGAUUCACAAAUGCAUGCAAUUGCCUUCAAAUGGAGGUUAGUUCUUUACUAAUUCUGUGCUAUUCCACUUUCAAGUUUUUGGUUCUAGAAGUGUAAUACUUGCUAGGUUAGCUGCAGAAGCGGGAUGUAUAUGGCCUGAAUUUAUAUUUCGAGUGUAUAAACUGAUUCAGAGUAUUCUGACAUCUGAAACAUUUUGUUGUAUGGUUCUGUCUUGAAAGAACUGAAGUAAUUCUUCUAUGGGAGAGAAUAUAAACGUGAUUCUGAAACAA